rnacentral:lncRNA from 1 species
GAUCGACUGACCUCUUAAUGCUCUUUUUGAUGAAAGUAGAUAAUAUCUUCACAGCCUGACAUCAGGGCUUAACCCUUCCCCCACGUGGAAACUGAACUGGAUGAAGAACAUUUUCUUCCGCUUCCUGUCACAGGAGCACUACUGACCCUUUGGGAAGGGGUAACAAGGAGAGGGACAGCAGCAGGGAAAACUCUCCCAGUGCCAAGGACCUGCAGCAGUCCUGCCUAAGGUUUCUGUAAUGGCACUGCACCAAAGAGCAACACAACCCAAAGAAAAUCCGAUCUACUUUCAUCAAGAAGAGCAUUAAGAGGUCACUCGAUCAAUGGUUAGAGUACUCUGGGUAGAAAAAGACCCCUAUGGACAAGAAAGCCUAACAUGAUCCAACACCUGAAAGCUGAAAAUAGGCACACCUGGAUGGGAAAUAAGGCAUACACUUUGAGGAUAAUUCACUAUCAGAGGAGUGUACCUCAGAAUUUGCUUGAAAUUCCAUCUGUUGAAAUCUUCAGGACCACACGUUUUGCCAAGCCAUAUGUGAGGGGCUAGAAAAGCUCUUGGACAGUGCAGGAUGUCAAACUGGCUGAUGACAAUCAUUUUGUAGGGCUUGCAUGCUGAGCAAAAGGAAAAGCUGCUCCCUCUUCCUCCCAUGAGUCAAUGCUUUGGAAGAGAUUGCACGCCAAAAAACUCUACUGCCUAGAAGAAAAACAGCCCCUUGUUGGCUCAUACUGGGGUCAAGCUGAGGACCCGAUUCUGCAUGGUGCUGGAAUCUGAGCACACUCAGCCCUCCUUGGCUGAGUUAUUAUCUCACAGUUGUUAUAUGCACAGUAUGGAAGUCUCCUGGGAGAGUGGCUAAUGUACACUUUGCCUCCCUAGAAAGCAGGGUGGGAAUUUAUGAGGAAAGAAAAUCAGGCCUAUAAAUUACACAGAGGACCUGUAAAUGGAGGUAUAAGUUUCAUUACUGGAGCAUGUUACGGGACGGUCAAAAUUAAAAACAGCUUCUAGAAAGCGGAUUGCAUUUAGCUUUCCAUUUGGGGGAAAAGAAGAAGAGAAACAAAUUCAAACACAACCUUGAUUAACUGGGCAAAUUACAAACGUGACACUAAGUUUGCACUGACACAGUAAGCAAGCAGCAUGCAAGUUAUCCACUGUCAAGUACUUCUACUCUAACAUCUCAUUUUGCUCUCUGAAAUGUGGUAAUUAGAACAGUACCUUAAUAAUAAUGACGCAUUUAAGAGACA